rnacentral:rRNA from 1 species
UACGUAGGGUGCGAGCGUUGUCCGGAAUUAUUGGGCGUAAAGAGCUCGUAGGCGGUGUGUCGCGUCGGUCGUGAAAACUUGGGGCUUAACCCUGAGCUUGCGGUCGAUACGGGCAUCACUGGAGUUCGGCAGGGGAGACUGGAAUUCCUGGUGUAGCGGUGAAAUGCGCAGAUAUCAGGAGGAACACCGAUGGCGAAGGCAGGUCUCUGGGCCACUACUGACGCUGAGAAGCGAAAGCAUGGGGAGCGAACAGG